rnacentral:tRNA from 1 species
UGGGGUAUAGCCAAGUCGGUAAGGCACAAGACUUUGACUCUUGCAUUCCUAGGUUCGAGUCCUAGUACCCCAG